UAGCAGAUUGAGUUAUUCUUUGCUUUCUUGAUUUGAUAAAUAACAAUUUUGAUGCAUUGUGAGGAACAUGAUCAGAGCAGGGGUUUCGCAAUGAUAUAAAAGUUGUUUUUGGGUGUUAAGAUUUAAAAAUUAAAAAUAAAACAUUAAAUGGAAAAUCUCUACACCCAUUAUCCUGAGCUAAUAUAAAAGUAAGGCAUUGAGAGUAGUUUUUAGAAAAAUAGUAUUUUAUUAAAUGUAAUAUGGUUUAUUUAGCAAGUUGGUCUGGUGGAGUGCCUAUCAGGAAAGAUGUUCAACAUGAAGUAAAGGGGGAACCACCUGUAACUUGAGCAGGAUUUUGAAGAUGAAAACUUGGUCGAACGCACUGAGGUUUAUCCAUCAAGUUGGCCUUCUGGUGUGCCUAUUAAGGAAAUUGUGGGUUGCAACAGCAUUGAGAAAAAGAUAAAGGAAUUGUUGUUUGUGUAGAUUAUUUUUUUUGUUUUUUGUUCCAUAUAAAAGUUCAUUCAAGGGAAUUGGUUUCAGAAAGACAUUGUACACGAGGUCAAAGAAAAACAUGAUUAUUGUAGUGUAAUUGAAUAUGGUUUAGGAUGAGUUAAUAUUGUAUGGGUCUUUAUGGAGCUUCUUUAUUUUGGCUAUUUAGAAUAAUGUGACAUAAAUCUUAUACUUUUCUUUUAGGCAUGCAUGUGGAUUGAUGAUGAUUAAGAUAAUGAAUCUGGGCAAGAAAUCAAUGACAGAGAUUAUGUGGUUAAGGUAUACAAGAUUGAGGACAUUAGUGAUGAAGAAGAUGGGAUGAAGCAUAAGGACUUGUCAAGAAAGAAGAUUGGACUAGGUACAAGGCAAUUGACAUACACAGAAGAAGACAGAGACUUUAAAGACGAACGAUGAGGAUCAUGAAGUUUAGUUACAAGUAGAGUUUUUAUAAAUGAUGAUAGUGAGGGAUAUGAAGCCUUUGUUAUUGAAGUUUGGGUUGACUUUAACUCUCCCCUUUUAAAGAAUUUUUGACUCUCCCCUUAGAACCAGAAGGAUCAAUCCCUCCCUGCUGCCUUCCUUGCCACUCUUUGGGAAAUUAGGAGGUGUGGCUUACAGUUGCAGCGGUAGGAAUACUGAAGACAAUUGACGAUGACAUUCCAGUACUCCUCGAGGCAUACACAACUCUAAAAUCUGAUGGUCAUUUAUAUCUCCUGAUAGAAAACCAUGAUUACAUUACUGUUCGGAGGCUCAAGAAAUAAUUCAUGCAACCCAUGUUCAAAUGUAAUGUAUUAAGAAUGAUACCUGUGUUGUCAAGUUAAUGGGCUGCUACAGUGGUAAGCAGAUAUAUGCUCCAUUAGGCAUUCUUGAAGCUGAAGCUAAGGCAAUGGAAGCUGCUGUGAUGUUUGCAAAGGGAUGUUGGAAUUCAAGAGAUCAUUUUCGAAGGGGACUCACUACAAGUAUACAAUUUUCUUAAAGGAGGCUCCUUAGUCUCACCUGCUGUUGCUAACGUGUUGGAAGGCAUUCUUUAUAAUUUUCAAGCUUUUCGUUCUUUUGAUUUUUCUCACAUAAAAAGGGUAGGCAAUGGGCCAGCCCAUCUUCUAGCUCAUCAUGCUAAGUCUAUAGUUGAUUUUGAGGCAUGGGUUGAAGAAACCCCCAGUUUUUUAGAAGCUGCUUUGGCCUUUGAUGUAGCUGCUUGCAGUAUUUGAGUUUUAUUAAUGUUAUGCAUU